rnacentral:rRNA from 1 species
AAUUUGGGACAAGGGGGGCAACCCUGAUCCAGCCAGCCCGCGAGUGCGAAGAAGGCCUUCGGGAUGUAAAGCACUUUUGGCAGGGAAGAAAAGGCUCUGGAUAAUACCUGGAGCUGCUGACGGUACCUGCAGAAUAAGCAUCGGCUAACUACGUGCCAUCAGCCGCGGUAAUAGGUAGGGUCCAAGCGUUAAUCGGAAUUACUGGGCGGAAGGGGUGCGCAGGCGGUUUGGCAAGAAGGAUGUGAAAUCCCGGGGCUUAACCUCGGACCUGCAUUCUUAACUGCCAGGCUAGAGUAUGUCAGAGGGGGGUAGAAUUCCGAGUGUAGCAGUGAAAUGCGUAGAGAUGCGGAGGAAUACCGAUGGCGAAGGCAGCCCCCUGGGAUAAUACUGACGCUCAGGCACGAAAGCGUGGGGAGCAAACA